rnacentral:rRNA from 1 species
AUUGAACGCUGGCGGCAUGCCUUACACAUGCAAGUCGAACGGUAACAGGUCUUCGGAUGCUGACGAGUGGCGAACGGGUGAGUAAUACAUCGGAACGUGCCUAGUAGUGGGGGAUAACUACUCGAAAGAGUGGCUAAUACCGCAUGAGAUCUACGGAUGAAAGCAGGGGAUCGCAAGACCUUGUGCUACUAGAGCGGCCGAUGGCAGAUUAGGUAGUUGGUGGGAUAAAAGCUUACCAAGCCGACGAUCUGUGACUGGUCUGCGAGGACGAUCAGCCACACGGGGAAGGAGACACGGCCCGGACUCCGACGGGAGGAAGCAGUGGGAAAGUUUGGGCGAGGGGCGCAAGACUGAUCCAGCAAUGCCGCGUGCAGGAUGAAGGCCUUCGGGUUGUAAACUGCUUUUGUACGGAACGAAAGGCCCUGGGUUAAUACCCUGGGGUCAUGACGGUACCGUAAGAAUAAGCACCGGCUAACUACGUGCCAGCAGCCGCCGUAA